GAGAAGUUAAAGGAGACCAGAACAUGAUCUGACUUAAGGUCAUCGGAUGAAAGAGAAGAUUGGAAGAAGCUACUGAAGGUAAAGCAGAAAUAUAAGGGAUAAUUCCUCAACUACAGUGGACAGAGUUGGAAUCUGAGCCAAGCGGAGCAGUCAUGCUGAGUUCAGGAAGCCUCACUGCUAAAUGCCACCUAUCAAAGUGGCC
rnacentral:lncRNA from 1 species